AUCGACAUUGAGCGUUGCGUUCGCGAGUCGAUCAACCUGUUCCGCUGGACUCCCAAGAGCGCCACGUUCAGGCAGUACGCGCAGCCCCCGCGGCCGGCCGCCGACAGCAGCACCGCCAGGAGCUCUUCCCUCUCCUGCUUCUCUGCAGACUACCAGGAAGCUCCUCGGAGUGACCUCUCUAGGGACUCCAUCAAAUUGGAUGACCUGAAGGCAGAAGUGUCCCCACGAAUUUCAGCAGAAGAUCUGAUAGACUUGUGUGAGUUGACAGGACCUAGUCAUUCCAAAACACCUGUGAAGAAAACAAAGCCCAGCAAGCCAAAGCUGCUGGUGGUGGACAUCCGUAACAGCGAAGACUUUAACCGUGGCCACAUUUCUGGCAGCAUCAAUGUCCCUUUUGCAUCAGCAUUUACUGCAGAUGGGGAUCUCAUCCAGUGCCCAGCAACUGCCACACUUCAGAGCUUUAAAGGAAGAGUUGUGGUGAUUGUGGGAAAUGCAGUGAAGAACACAGCUGCUUUUGCAGCUCAUUUAGUGAAAAGCAAGUACCCAAGGGUCUGCAUCCUUGAUGGAGGAAUCAACAAGAUCAAGCCCACUGGUCUCCUCACUGUUCCCUCUCCACAAAUCUAAGUGACUGAAACAUUCAGGACAAUCUGUCUCAAGAGGAAAGUCCUACCUACAACAGAGAUAUCCUGAACCUAAAGGGCAUUAUGGCAUCUUCACAAGCUAUCCUGGUGAUCAGUGUCUUAUCCUGCAGCUGUAGAGCCCAGGAGUUUUGGGUUUGUUCUUUAACAGAGGGCUUCAGUUGGAAUUGAUCAAAACUGAAGUUCUAAGCUUUCCAAGAAACCUCUUUCAGCACUGAUGCAGUGCAGAAGUGCUUGGGCAAGUCUGAACACAGAGAGAGGAAAUUACCUGGCUUUUGGUGUCUUACAUUUCUGUGAACAAAAUUAACUGGCACUUGAUGGCUCUAAGGUGCACUUCGAUUAUUUGAGAAAGUAUUUUACUGUGAAUAUUGAAAGUAGCAAAAUGAAAAUGUACCAUGUAUAUUGUGUGAAAAAGUGUGUUCCCUAAUAUUUGAAAAUUAAUUGCUGUAUCUUCUGACUUGCUUUAUUUCUGAAGAAAGUGGUUUUUUCAUCCGGUUUGGAAAUAAAGAUGUGUCCCACAUUGAAA